GAUGAACGCUGGCGGCGUGCCUAAUACAUGCAAGUCGAGCGAACAGACGGUGAGCUUGCGCCCCUGACGGUAGCGGCGGGCGGGUGGGUAAGACGUAGAUAAGCUACCUAUAAGUCGGGGGGGAUUUCGGAGAAACGGAGACGAUAACGGAGCAUAUAAUGAACGGCAUGGAUCAAUAGUGAUACACGGUUUUCGCGACUCAUAGAGAUGGAGCCGCGUCGGAUUAGCUAGUUGGUAAGGUAACGGCUUACCAAGGCAACGAUGCGUAGCUGACCUGAGAGGGUGAUCGGCCACACUGGAACUGAGACACGGUCCAGACUCCUACGGGAGGCAGCAGUAGGGAAUAUUCCGCAAUGGGCGAAAGCCUGACGGAGCAACGCCGCGUGAGUGAUGAAGGUCUUCGGAUCGUAAAGCUCUGUUAUUAGGGAAGAACAACUGUGUAAGUAACUCUGGCCGUUUUGACGGUACCUAAUGAGUAAGCCCCGGCUAACUACGUG
rnacentral:rRNA from 1 species